rnacentral:lncRNA from 10 species
CAGGAUCCUGUGUAACUGACUGUUCCUUUUGCCACCGAUUUGGGUUCUGUGAAACAUCCAGUUCUGGAGUGCAGGAAGUCCAAGACCAAGAGGAUGGAAUCUGCAAGGGCCACUUUGCUACAUCAAAAUAUGACAGAAGGCAUCACAUAAUAAAAAAAAUAGAGAGGGAAAGACAGACAGAGUAAGAGUGUGCAAACCCACUUUUGCAAUAACUGUAUCAACCUACUCAUGAAGGUGAAACCCUCAUCACCUAAACUCCUCUUAGAGGUCCCACCUCAUAAUACCAUCACAAUGGCAAUUAAAUUUCAACAUAAGUUUUGGAGGAGACAAACCAUGGCACCAUGAAUUUGAUGUCUGAAUAGAUACAUUUGUAUUCAGGUUAUCUACUUAUUGAUUGAGUUUAGUAGUUUGUGUCUUUAAGAAUUUAUCAAUUUAAGGUAAGUUUUCUGUUUUUUAUAUAAAAUUAAUUAUGAUCAUUAUAUAUUAUCCUCUUAAUAUCCAUAGAAUGUGUAGUAAUGUAAAUUCUUUCAUUUCCAAUAUUGUUAAAUUGUGUAUACUCUAUUUUAUUAGCCUGGUUAGAUUAUUUUAUUUUUUUUUAAACCUCAAAAACUAGGUUUUGGUCUUAUUGAUUUUUCCCAGUAAUUCUCUUUGGUUUUUCCAACUGACGGGUAAAGUCUACUGUUUUAUUUUCCUUUAUUCUGUUUACUUGGGAACUAAUUUAUCCUUCCUUUUAAUUUAUACUUACUUUAUAGUUUCUUGAAAUGGAAUUCGAGUUUGAGACCUUUCUUUUAUUUCAAGAUAUGUGUUUAUAUCUACAAAAUUUCCCCCUAGUGUUGCAUUAGCAGCAUCUCACAACUUUUCAUACACUUUAUUUUAAUUUUCAUUAAUUUCAUUUCUAAUUUUUUGGUUAGAUUUCUGUUUUGAUGUUUCAGUCAUUUGGAAGUCUGUAAAUUUACUUUCACAUAUUUCAGGAUUUUUCGGAGAUAUUUCUCUUAUUGAUUUCUAAUUUAAUGCCAUUAUAUUUGAUAAUAGACUUUGUAUGAUAAGAAUACAUUUAAAUCUAAUGACUUAUAUUAUUACCCCAAAUAUGUAUGUCCACAAAUUAUAUUUUGAGGUGACUUAAAUGAGUUAUCAUUUUGAAUUGCAUUAUUUUUAAAUUAUCUGAUCGAAAUUUAUAUGAAAUUUAAAAGGUGUUAUUAUAUGUCACAAUCUUUAUAAAGGUACUAAUUUUAUUUAUUUAUUGUGAAAAUUGUCUAUGGA